rnacentral:rRNA from 1 species
AUACGGAGGGUGCAAGCGUUACUCGGAAUCACUGGGCGUAAAGGACGCGUAGGCGGAUUGGAAAGUCAGAUGUGAAAUCCUACAGCUUAACUGUAGAACUGCAUUUGAAACUUCUAAACUAGAGUAUGGGAGGGGGAGAUGGAAUUAGUGGUGUAGGGGUAAAAUCCGUAGAUAUCACUAGGAAUACCGAAAGCGAAGGCGAUCUCCUGGAACAUAACUGACGCUAAGGCGUGAAAGCGUGGGGAGCAAACGGGAUUAGAAACCCUAGUAGUCC